rnacentral:lncRNA from 1 species
AGCAAAGCUUGAGGGAGGAGAACACAGCUGAGUCAGAGCUUAUCCAUCAUUGGUUGCUGAGCCUCACUGAGAGUAUGUUGUCUGCUGAGAACAAGAUUUACCUGGAGACUGAAAAUUGAAUUGAUCAUGGGUGAGGCAAGUUAGUAAGGUUGUGUCAACUGAAGAAUGAUGAGGUUCAUCAAUUUGGAAAGGAGAGCUUUAUUUCUCAAAAAUGAUUGCAGCCUGCAAGGUGGCCAUUCUGACAGCCUAGGAAAGACUGGCUCGGACAGAGGGAGACCUUCAUCCAUCAGCCUUGGGAGAUAUUCCGGGUGCUUCUCAAACCCCUUCUAUGGAUGUGUAUUUUCUGAACGAAUGCAUGGGUAA